rfam:Lactobacillus fermentum CECT 5716, complete genome.
GCAGAUAUAGCUCAAUGGCAGAGCUUCUGAUCUCGGUUCGAUUCCGGGUAUCUGCG